rnacentral:pre_miRNA from 1 species
UGGUCACCUGACUUGCAGUGUGGUGAUAGUGGAACACACUGCAUACCCUGUGACCUCC